GACUACAUUCAACAUCUUAGAAACUGCUUCACAAAGAUCAGAAAAUUGCAAGUCAAAUUCUAGCUAAAUGAAGUACAGUUCACUUAAAUAACAAUAUAUAAAACCAAUCAUGAGAAUUCUCAACCAUUUGAAUGAAACUAUCAUCUCUAGUUCUGCGCUUAGGAAAUUAACACUGAAUUAAACACCAAAAAUACAAGAACCCAUACAGAUCAAGAAAGCAUAUGAGAAUGAGACCAUGUCAAUUA
rnacentral:misc_RNA from 1 species